AUCUGCUGGGCCUCAUCUAGA
rnacentral:siRNA from 1 species